AUGAAACUUGGCAAAUGGAACUGUAAAUCCUAUUCUUACUAUUUCAUGAGACUGGCUAUAAAUCACUUCCUAGUGUUUCAACAACCAUGAUAAAAUAUGCUCAGCUUUACAUAAGGAACAUGAUCUUGGUCAAAUUUUUAGAGUUCCUUUCUUCCACUUUUCAUGAUGGAACACUUCGACAGCAAACAAGCAAGAGAACAAAAUUUAAAAUGCUACUUUCCUGGGCACAAAACCAAUUAAUAAACUAACCAAAAUAGGAAUGACUAGAAAGGCAGAACUAUUUGAUCUCUUGACAUCAGCUGAUUUAACACUUGACUUUGAGGAACUGGGACAGAAUAUCAGUGAUGCAUAUGGAUUUACUCCAGGGGCAGGUCAAGCUUUGUAGGUUAUUAAAACUUAAAAAUUUUUUCUGUUAAGUUGAAGGAAGAACAACCUACUAUCAGUGAACAACCUACUAUAUCAGUUGUAUAUAACCUACUAAUGCCUAAGAAAAAAUAAGCCAUGCAGAUGAGUAAAUGCUAACAAAAUCCCCCCAAUAGUUUAUAGACUUCUUCCCUCUGAUAAGGGGUCUCCUCAAAGUAAUUUUAAAAAUCAACCCAAGUCCAAAUUAUCUUUACUUUCUAUCACUGCUAUAAAAUGCAUUCCAAACCUUUCAACAUUCAUUUUCUAAAUGACUCAGGUCAUAAGGGAGAUAAGGGAGGCCUAAGCCACAUCCAUCUUCAGUAUUAAAAUGCACGUCUUAACAGUGGUGGGAAAUGGCAUCUUCCUUUAUGAGAGAAAAACUAAAGUACUAUCUGGGUAUGAAUAAUUCAGCCUCUAUCAAGUUGCAAGUUUA
rnacentral:lncRNA from 1 species